GUGCUUACUUAAGCAGCACGUGUACUAAAACUAGAACCAUACAGAGAAGAUUAGCAUGGCCCUGCACAGGGUGACAUGCAGAUGAGUGAAGUGUUCCAUAUUGUG